AAAAUCAAUUUUUGUAACAUGCUUGAAGGAAGGAACUCAAAUGAACGUUACAACCUUGUGAGACUUGAGCCUAAACGUUUAUUUGGAGAGUUAAUAAUCUGUGCAUCAUUGUUUUCUAUAGUCCUUGCAUGAUCUCAUUAUUCUUUUCUUGGUUGCUACUUAGAAGGCGUUUCAUCAUUUAGUUCCAAAUGCUAGAACUCAUGCCUAUUUCAUUCAAAGCGUGCUAUUGAUUUGCAUAACACAUAUUCAAGAUGAAGUUGUGUAGUGAUCACCAAAGCCAAAUUGCCGUGCCCCUAUUUCAUUAUGUGUUUAAGUUUAAACCCGUUGAGCCUUGUUAAGCCUAUGUUCUUUGUUAACCCACACUUUCCUUACCUAGCCUAGGUUUAGGACCAUCCAUACCCUUAUUCUGGAAGCAUAGUAAAGCAUGACUUAAAAUGAACUCCUUUUUUAUCAAUGUAUUACAGAAAGCAAGUGUGGGGGAAGUGAUUCUUGUGUGUGUGUGUGUGUGCCAAAGUCCUUAAUAAGGCACGGGUAGAAAAGAAAAAAAAGAAUUGAAAAGAGUAUGAAAAAGAGCUCUAAAGUGUUGUUUGUUAAAAAAGGGUCCAAAACAUUGAAUUCGGCCCUAAGUGGUGUUGCAUGAAUCUUCCCUUUGUAUUUAAAAGUUGAUUCUGCAUUCUAAAGUGAAUUCCAAGUGUCUAUUUCAUUGCUUUGCUUGCUAUCGCUUUAAGAACGUUUGUUAUUCUUACCCUUUCUUUAUUAGCCAUUACCCCAAGCCCUGUUACAACCCUUGACUUCAAUCUUGAGUGUUGUGUGUUUCAAUUUGUGGAGUUCGAAAUUGGUAUGAGCAUAUGGUGUCAUUGGUUCUCGCAUCUAAGUAGUAGCAUUCCAUUCAUGAGAUCAUAUCUAAACAUGCUUAAUAACUCCAGAAAAUUGCUUUCUUUGUUAUAACAUAUGUGAGUCCUAGUCUUUCGUGUUUACAUUAAUCUUCUCACAUAUCUUGUAAGAAGUUGAGCAAAUUCUCGAAGGCAUGUUACUACAUUAAAAACAUCGUUUUAAUUGGUUAAUUGUGAACUAGUAAGUGAUGAUUGUGAUUAAGUAUGUGCUCAAGUGUAAAGAUGACCAAAAUAUGUGGGAA
rnacentral:lncRNA from 1 species